ensembl:lncRNA
AAUUACUUGGACAAAAAAAGAUCCAGCCCAUGUACACUAUAGAUUUCCACAGAAUUUCAUUAAAAUAUGCCAUUUACCAUGUUUGUUUUUUCACCCAUGCAGCCAUAUGUGGUCGACCCAGUUCAAGCGGCGUGAGGCUGCUGGACUCUAACCUCACCUGGUUCUCCUCCCCCUUCAGUGCUCUGGCUUCUGUGGUGCUAUAAACAGCAGUCCUCUAAGAUGCAAAAAGGAUGAGACCAAGGCUGUGCUUCUCAGUGAGAGCUGUCAGGAACCACCAUGGUCAAGAAACUAUAGCAACCCAGUGCAGUCGCAACCUACCACUAACCCAACAGACUUCAGUACAUCAUCAGUGCCGAUAACCACAGGCACACCACAUACCCCUACACAACGUAUUACUUCGCCGGCUUCCCUAAACAUUUCACACAAUAACAUCACAGCAGUGUGGCAGAACACCACACAAUUUAACACCACAACAGAGUUACCACGCACCUCACACAACACCACAUCAGCACAGAAUAUCACAGAAUUUAAUACCACAGCAUUACAGCAAAAUCACACCCAGUUUUACACCACCAUGCUCCCACUGAAUUCCACGCAAUUUAACACCACAGAUGUUCCUCAGGACAUUAUACAAUUUACUACUUCAACACAAAACAGCACCCUGUUUAACUCCACAACAGUAUGGUGGAACGAAACACUCUUUAACACCACGACACCCCCAUUAAAAACCAUUAACUCUACAACAACAACAACAUGGAACAGUACAGAGUUCAACACAACACCACUUCAACUGAACACAACACAAAUGUAUACAACAAUAAAUGAAUCCCUACAAAAUGUAACGCACAUCAACACAACUGCUUUCCCCGCUACUGCUAAGCAAUCUGACACCACUGGCAUUCCAAAGAACUCAUCAGACUUCACCACAGCAGUUGUAUCGCCAACUUCAUCACCUAAUAUCACCGACACAACACCACUUCAACUGAACACAACACAAAUGUAUACAACAAUAAAUGAAUCCCUACAAAAUGUAACGCACAUCAACACAAAUGCUUGGCCCGCUAAUGCUACGCAAUCUGCCACCACUCACACUCCUCUGAACUCAUCAGACUUCACCACAGCAGUUGUAUCACCAACUUCCUCACCUAAUAUCACCACUUCAAGCCCUCAGCUGAAUACAACAGAGUUGUUUACAGCUCCCUCAUCAUAUCUUAAUACGACCUGGGACUAUAACGCAACAGCCUUUCCACUUACUACAGCGUCAGCCUCUCAAAACACAAGUUCUUUACCAGUGGAAGUUAAUACUAAUACUGGAACAAAUGGCUCCCUGACAAGCAACUACACAACAGGCCACGUGCUGAACCAGACAGUUGCCCCGGCAACAACAUCUGAGCAGAAACUAACAUCACAGUAUAACAACACAGUUGUUCCAGACAGGACCGCCACCCUUACGACCACAACCACCACCACAACAACACAGUCUACAGCUCGGCCUCCUGAUCCAGUGGAGCCAUCUUUGACUACCAUCGCUACAAUCCCUACAGAAACCACAACCACAACCAUGACUACAACAUCAAGCCCUGGUGAACAGGCCGACCAGCUGCUGGACCAGACCAAGGACGUGUCGGCGCUGAACUCGUCCCAGGUGGCAGAUGUGGUGAACCAGCUGGAGAAGCUCCUCUCCAGCCCGAACGUGAGCCUGGAGGUGGGCCGUGCCAUGGUGUCCGUCAUCAGCAACCUGCUCAACGCUUCAGCCAGCUCCCUGGGCUCCUCUUCAAAAAGGUACGACGAGGUUUGCAUGUUUCCUAUGCCAUAUUCCUGUAUUCUUAUGCUUGGCCCCAUAGAGGAAGCCUUGCCGGUUUUCUCAGUCGCUUUGGUUGAUUUCUCAGAUCAGAAUUGAAAUUCUGAAAACUACUUGUUCAACCUCCACAUCAUCACACCACAUCACAGUCACUUGUGCAGAUCAGAAAAACAUUUCUCAUUCUUUUGAACAAAUUAUAAAGGCUUUGGCACAUUUCUGCAAAUG